UCAGAUUGAACGCUGGCGGCAGGCCUAACACAUGCAAGUCGAACGGUAACAGGAAGCAGCUUGCUGCUUYGCUGACGAGUGGCGGACGGGUGAGUAAUGUCUGGGAAACUGCCUGAUGGAGGGGGAUAACUACUGGAAACGGUGGCUAAUACCGCAUAACGUCGCAAGACCAAAGAGGGGGACCUUCGGGCCUCUUGCCAUCAGAUGUGCCCAGAUGGGAUUAGCUUGUUGGUGAGGUAACGGCUCACCAAGGCGACGAUCCCUAGCUGGUCUGAGAGGAUGACCAGCCACACUGGAACUGAGACACGGUCCAGACUCCUACGGGAGGCAGCAGUGGGGAAUAUUGCACAAUGGGCGCAAGCCUGAUGCAGCCAUGCCGCGUGUAUGAAGAAGGCCUUCGGGUUGUAAAGUACUUUCAGCGGGGAGGAAGGUGUUG
rnacentral:rRNA from 1 species